UACAGAGGGUGCGAGCGUUAAUCGGAAUUACUGGGCGUAAAGGGUGCGUAGGUGGUUAUAUAAGUUAGGUGUGAAAGUCCCGGGCUUAACCUGGGGAUUGCGCCUGAUACUGUGUAGCUAGAGUGCUGUAGAGGAAAGUGGAAUUUCCGGUGUAGCGGUGAAAUGCGUAGAUAUCGGAAGGAACAUCGGUGGCGAAGGCGACUUUCUGGACAGACACUGACACUGAGGCACGAAAGCAUGGGGAGCAAACAGG
rnacentral:rRNA from 1 species